UGUUAUACCCGACCUGCAUUCGAAAGAAUCAUUUGUGCUGUUCUCAGGAGCCAACGACUCUAUCCGCCAGUUGGUUGAAAUAGUUGUUUAAGCCUAGUUUUUUAAACGCCGUGCAAUCGUUUACCUUCGAGAAGAGCCGGAAGCAUCAGAGGCAGUCCUCCAUGGAUCGAACUGACUUUUGUAACGAUGUCAUAGAGCAGACCCUCAGUUGAAGCGGGAGCUUCAACGAUUAUGCCUGUGAUAUCGCUUUCGCCGGACCAAUGCCUCAGAAGAUUGGUCUUGUUGUUCCCAUCACAUGCUAGAGGCCAUCCGGUGGUGAAUCGAUUAUGAAUGGGAGAAGAUCGGCCAUAAUUAUAAGAGUAGGAAAAACUCUAUGGAAACGGAAAUAUUUGCACGGAACAGAGGAACGCGGCCGCCACCAAAGACCUCCACCCAGAGGCCCUCGAUAUCAACAGAUGACUGUGACUGAACUUAAAGAACGGCGCACAAAUAGGUUUGGUCGUAUGCUCAGGUCUAGCUCGCCGGAUGGUCGGGGUUCUUCCUCACCUAAUUGUACUAUCGUACUCCUCUACAUUUAUAUAGUGGACUUUAUGGAAAACUGUAAUUGAUUAUACAAAACAAAGUACACUGAAAUGCUGAUGGCGCCGACACGAGAAAUGAAAAGCCCUACUGAACUCGUUCUAUUUGGAGGGGACCUAGAUGUUGAUUGUCCCUCUCUUCUGUACCCACCCUACCAUGACAAUGACUUCGAGUUCCUGCAUUGUCCCUUGAUCCUGGCUCGGAUACGCGACCGACCAUUUUUAUGAUUUCAAAGAUUCAUUUCAAUUCACAUUGAUUCAUUAAUAUAAGCUUAUAUAUGGGGAAAUAUGUGUAUAUGGUGCCGAAUAGCACUAUAUUAAUUAAGGAAUUAAGGAUCUUUUCGUUUUCCUUACUCUCAUAACUAUUGCGAAUCUCCUCCCGUAAUCGAUUCGCAACUGGAUGGCCUCCAACAUGGUGAUAGGACUAACACGGUCCUUCUUCUCAGGCAUUUACCCGGCAAAGGCGAUUUCAAAGUCAUAUUCGUUAAAGUUCUCGCUCCAAAUGAGGGUCUGCGCUACUUUACAACAGUUCACUUUGCCGUGGCAUCGAAGAACACUGCAUUCAGAUUCGAUAGAAGCCGAUUCGAAUGGGAAUGUCAAUGCAUUCGAGUCAAAUUUCGUUAAUGACAGCAUCCGCAUGACCGUAUAUUCGGGCACAACGGAUCCGAAGCUAUAGCCAUUCACUACUGAGGGAGCAGCAGCAGCAGCUGCCGUGCGGUUUCCGUUUGGCAUGAUGCCUGCCCCAGGAUGACAGCUACGACACCGCACACAGAACCGGAUAGGGAUACAGAUGCGGAUAAACGAUUUGGCCUUUGUCGCGUUGGAAUUGCAGCACUUUUCUAAUGAACAACGGAUACGGGCUUCGGACCUCCUUUCGCGAUUAUCGCAGAUUUCUUCGGAUGCCUGCGGGUUGGAUCUGCCUUACAGCACCUGGAGUUGAGGCUGUGAAUUCUUUGGGCGUAGUUUGUCCCUCCGUUAGCUGCAUGAAGACCAAAUCUUGAUUUUCCUCUUUUGCUGGAAAGUCCGUCAGUACGGUGAUGCCUAUUUUAUUGUUUGAAAUUGGCUAUACUUUUACUCGACCCGGGUACCCUUGUAGAGCUGUAUCAUUUUGAUGUCGGGCGUCUAGUCGUAGCCCAUGUGGCGGCGGCCUCCUUGGAAAAUAAAUUUCAAA